rnacentral:snRNA from 1 species
AUCGCUUCUCGGCCUUUUUGGCUAGAUUCAAGUGUAGUAUCUGUUCUUAUCAGUUUAAUAUCUGAUACGUCGCUCGAUGAGAGGAUUUAUAUUAAACGUAUUUUUGGGUUCGGGAGUUGGACCCGGAGCUUGCUCCCUCCGCCCGCGCAUCGUCCCGGGAUUGGCAGUGCCUCCGGAACGGUGCACUCACC